rnacentral:rRNA from 1 species
GAUGAACGCUGGCGGCGUGCUUAACACAUGCAAGUCGAACGAUUAAAGCCCCUUCGGGGGUGUAUAGAGUGGCGAACGGGUGAGUAACACGUGGGCAAUCUGCCCCUCACUUCGGGAUAACUCAGGGAAACCUGAGCUAAUACCGGAUACUCCGGUCUGACCGCAUGGUCGGACCGGGAAAGUUCCGGCGGUGAGGGAUGAGCCCGCGGCCCAUUAGCUUGUUGGUGAGGUAACGGCUCACCAAGGCGACGAUGGGUAGCCGAGCUGAGAGGCUGAUCGGCCACACUGGGACUGAGACACGGCCCAGACUCCUACGGGAGGCAGCAGUGGGGAAUCUUGCGCAAUGGGCGAAAGCUUGACGCAGCAACGCCGCGUGCGGGAUGAAGGCCUUCGGGUUGUAAACCGCUUUCAGCAGGGAUGAAACUGACAGUACCUGCAGAAGAAGCCCCGGCUAACUACGUGCCAGCCGCCGCCGUAACAC